rnacentral:tRNA from 2 species
GAUCGCAUAGCUCAGCGGUAGAGCACUACCUUGACAUGGUAGGGGUCACAGGUUCAAUCCCUGUUGCGGUCACCA